AGAACAUCCCUGGAACAUUAUGAAAGGUGAAAGUUUCUCUUUCGCUAUUGCAGGCUAUUCCUGUUUGGAAGCCGAAGUCCGCUAUUCAUGAGAACACUGAAUAGACAGAGACUGAGGAGUGGAGAUCGGGGCAUCGAGUCCAGCCUUCAUCAGCCUCGCCUGAGGGUUUAAACUGUGGUUAUGUAGUGGGGCAUGAGUGCAUUCUGGUCAUCCUCAAUUACACCACCUGUUACCUUGGUUGUAUGUAGAUUGUCCGGCAAGACAAUGACUCCAAACAUGCAUCAAAAUCCACACAGAAUUGGUUAAGUGAAAGGGACAUUACGGUACAUUAUUGGCAUUUGGCAGACGCUCUUAUCCAGAGCGACGUACAGUUGAUUAGACUAAGCAGGAGACAAUCCUCCCCUGGAGCAAUGCAGGGUUAUGGGCCUUGCUUAAGGGCCCAACAGCUGUGCAGAUCUUAUUGUGGCUACACCGGGAUUAGAACCACCGACCUUGCAUGUGAAAAAUCACUCAGAACUGGACUGUGUAACCCUAUCACAAAUGUAUCACGGUAAAUGUCCUCAUACAUUUUUUAUUUCACUUAUGCUGUGGAAUAAACAUGAUUACUUAACUGUCUGAAUGUGAAAAUGAGCAUUUUUGCAUUUUUCUAAAUGUUAUGCAUUUUCUACAUUUUAUGUCUAUAGUCAUCUAUUUUGCUGAUUUACCAGUGAUAUCAUUUCAUUAUUACAAAUGUUGCCAAAAUAUUUUAUUUAUUUCAC